UGGGGAAUUUUGCACAAUGGGGGAAACCCUGAUGCAGCGACGCCGCGUGAUUUAGAAGGCCUUCGGGUUGUAAAAAUCUUUUCUAUGGGAAGAAAAUGACAGUACCAUAGGAAUAAGGACCGGCUAAUUACGUGCCAGCAGCCGCGGUAAUACGUAAGGUCCGAGCGUUGUCCGGAAUCAUUGGGCGUAAAGGGUACGUAGGCGGGUAAGCAAGUUAGAAGUGAAACCCUAUAGCUCAACUAUAGUAAGCUUUUAAAACUGCUCAUCUUGAGGUAUGGAAGGGAAAGUGGAAUUCCUAGUGUAGCGGUGAAAUGCGCAGAUAUUAGGAGGAAUACCGGUGGCGAAGGCGACUUUCUGGCCAUAACCUGACGCUGAGGUACGAAAGCGUGGGUAGCAAACAGG
rnacentral:rRNA from 1 species